GGUGGCUCAGUGGUAGAGCAUUUGCCUUGCAUACAUGAAGCUCUGGGUUCGAUUCCUCAGCACCA
rfam:Dipodomys ordii contig_44252, whole genome shotgun sequence.